rnacentral:rRNA from 1 species
CAGUCGCCGCGGGAAUACGGAGGGUGCAAGCGUUAAUCGGAAUUACUGGGCGUAAAGCGCACGCAGGCGGUCUGACAAGUCAGAUGUGAAAUCCCCGGGCUUAACCUGGGAACUGCAUUUGAAACUGUCAGGCUGGAGUCUUGUAGAGGGGGGUGGAAUUCCAGGUGUAGCGGUGAAAUGCGUAGAGAUCUGGAGGAAUACCGGUGGCGAAGGCGGCCCCCUGGACAAAGACUGACGCUCAGGUGCGAAAGUGUGGGGAGCAAACAGGAUUAGAUACCCGGGUAGUCCCUGUCUCUUAUAC